rfam:Gossypium raimondii Chr07_contig_930, whole genome shotgun sequence.
AAAGGAUGGUGUAGCCAAGGAUGACUUGCCGACUCUUCCUCCUCCCAUCAUGAUAAGUGGUCGUCGGCAGGUUGUCUUUGGCUACAUUUUUCUUUCC